GUAUGUGAAGGGCUGGAAUGAGCAGCUGCCAGAGGGCCCUGCCUUUACAAGCUCGUGUUUUUUAAUGAAGUCGGUGAAGCCUCCAGUGCUAUGAUAGCACUUUAACCCACUGUUAAUGGUCAGAAUUCCUCAGGUCAGAAACAAAUUAUUUGUAAUCCCUGAGCUUUUUCAGGUUUCAUGCUAAGGUACGUGUGAGCAGGUUUGGUGUCACGGGGCAAAGACAAGGUGUACCAUGAAUCUAUGCUACAUCUCAGAGAGCUCAAAAUGCAAAAGUCACAGUCUGUAGCGAAGCUCUGGAGCUAAAAUACGUGAAAGCAGCUGUCAGAUCCCCUUCCCUCUGUUCUCCCCAUCCUUCUUCAUGAUCCAGAAAAUUGAAGUUUAUCGAAUUAAAGUUUUAGUAUGUGCUUCCUUAGAAAACAAAACAGAGCCACGGUAAUACUCACUGCCUAUAGACAAUCCAUAAUGAAAUGUUUUCGUUUAGGCUCUCUGCCAUCAAUUUAAGAACAGGGAUCCUGUGGGAGCUCAGGGAAACACAAGCCUGACAAAUAUCCUCACUUCUGCUAGUUGGAUUAUUUCCUCCGAGCAGCAACUGAGCUCAUAUUUGGUGCUAUUCCAUUUCUACAGCGAAGGCGAGAGAACGCCACAAGGUGGGAGCGAGGCAGCUGCCCUGAAAACAACGCCGUGGCACACAUGUAGGGGAAAACGACCCUUUGGUAAUCGCUCAUGAUCUCUGGUUGUGUAUUUGUCUAUUUUUUUAUCAACACGUGUGCCAGGGAGAAGCCCUCUGUCUGAUGGGUGAGCCUUGUGUGAGUUUGCAGAGCCACGCAGACAGCUGCUCUGCUGCCAGCAGUGAGUCACGAGGGAGCGACAGACAUGCUAUGAGCUGCAACUGCUCCGAGCUCUGGGCCCAGAGCAGCUCUGUCAGACAACCCUGACAUUACAUUUUGGCCUUGGACAGAGACCAGGGCUUUGGCCUCAUCGGUCUUCUGACCCACUCCAGUGUCUCAGGCCCUGUCCCAACUAUGCCAAGCAACCUCUACUCACUGCAAGUAGUUCCAACCUAUGCAGAUGCUGCUCAUCUGCUCUGUGCCAAACAGGUGGGAGAAGCAGUACUCACACUGGGCUGCUUUCCUGUGACCUUUCAUCCACGCUUCUUCCUCCAGGGAGCUCCAACUCUUCCUUGAUCAAAAGAGGAUCUAACCCAGGAGGACCGGAGGACUCCGAGUAGGGGAAAGCACAGCUCAGUCUGAAAGGUUCCAUGCACAGAACUGAAGUCAAUGGGAAGGCUGAUGGAGAUGGGGAAAUGUGGCCCUGCACUGUAGUACUGACUCUCCAACUGUCCACAUCCAGAUCUGGGCAUGGAGAGGAGGAUAAGGACUUCUCAGGCUGACAAGCUGCCUUUGGACAGGUGUCUUUUUAACCUGUCCCACAAACCAGUGCCAAGGUGACAACUGAAGCUCAGCCAGUCACUGACAACUUGCUUUACUGAUAAAUGACCAAGCUCUCAGAUAACAUGGACCAGCUAAGGCCUUUCUCCUCAAUGAGGUCGCCUUCAGUUUCUUGCCACAGACUGCUUUGGGACUGUCAAAACGCCUGAUGAAAAAUGCUAACUAGCUGAUUUGGGAGCACAUGCAAACUGAUAACUGGUCCACAGAGCUGAGCACCCAAACCUGUCAUUCUCACAGAUCUCUGUGUCAAAGAUGGAAAAAUGCAUGCAUGUGGGUAUAGAUGUAGAUUCAGAUGCAGAUGUGGAGGGCAGGGUAAGGGAAACUAAGACAACGAGGCUUAGCUUUUCUGUCCAUGGGCCCAUCUGACCCCUCUAGCCAACUACCAGCCCUCUACCAAAACAGAAUGGCAAUAUAAGCCCUGUUUAUUAGAAACAUGCAGAAAUAAUUGAAGCCACUCUGGCCUUACGUGUUAGCAACAAUAUUUCAACGUAAUAACAUAAUGGUAAAAAUCCUUGAUAGUCUCAAACUGAUGAAGUACUAUUUUGAUCUAAGUUCUCUUAGCAGGAAAGGCUAGAAGUAUCUUUAGAUACCCGAAGAUCUAUAAGAAAGAGGUUUGGGUCACCAGAGGUAGCUUUCCACCUAUAGGUGUGGAUGAUGGUCAGCUCUCACUUAGGAACGUGGUCAAACAUCUGCAUAGUCUGUCCAGAGAACAGCCAGCUAAUUUUAUCUCUGAAAUCCUGCAUAUGAAACACAUUCUGGUGGUUACAUGGCAACGUAAAAUCAACAAGCAGUCCUUUCUGAAACAAAUCCUUACAACUAUUUCUGAAAGAAAAAAAAAAAAAAAAAAAGAACCAUGGAACAGUGCCAUAUUAAAAAACUCCAGCAUUUGCAAACAGCUCUUACAGUCAGUAAUGCUGCAGCAUGUUUUUACAAUAGCUGUCUUAGGACACGCAUGCUAAUAGCAAUCUGUUGGUCUUAGGAAGAUACUAUUAAAUAGUCAUCAUCCUGUCGUCUACAUUAUAGGUUAUGUGGAUUGUAAAACAAGUUAUACGAGAGAUCAUGAAACUAUAGAACCUCAAAGGAACCACUGUGUUUUUUCUGCUGGUGUAUGGAUCCCCUUUCUGCCUGGAUCACAUGAAAGUGUUCUAUUAAUGUGAAUUGGCUUAUGUUUGAGAACACUAUGCUGGAGAGCUAUGAAGUGCAAGGAAUCUGACCCAGGGAUCUGCAGGGCUGUGACACAUCAGUUCUUUACAGGAAUUCUCAGUUGCUGGUUGAGAAUAACACAAGAUAGGUCCCGUACAUGGCGUGCAGUCUGCUGUCAUUGUUGAUGUUAGUAAACCUUUUGCCUAAGGCAGUGAGACGAGCUCCUGAUACGCCAUUGUAACUGGAAUUUCCCCCUCUAGCAGUCACUGCAGGACUAUAAGUAGGCAGUGUCAGGCUGCCUCUCCACCCAGCUAACUCAGUAAGUUGGGAAAACCAUUCCUCACUAACACACACAGCCACUGCAUGGCUGCAAGUGAUAGCUGCCUCAAGAAAAACACUGCAAGUCAGCACUGCUCGCCGUGUUUCCUGAGGAAUGCUUUGCUGGAGUUCAGAACAAACAUUCGAGGUCUGGGAACGCUACGAGAGUGCCUGGCAGAAGAAAAGCCUCCUGCCACCAUUCCAUUCGAAACCCCUUUGCCAGUGUUUAGUCUUCUCUCACCCACACGCUUGGCAAGGAGGGAGAGCAGCCCGUCUCUUCUCCCUGCCGAUAAGAUGGAGCUCUCAGCCCGCUUGUCUGAACGCAGCAGUUGAAGGAAGACGCACAACUGGGUUUUGUUUUGCUCCAGAGGGAGCAAGUCUGACCUAUUUUACACACAGGCGCAACAUCACCUUCGUGAUUCUUUUAGGAAAAUACAUGCCACUGCAGCAUAGGUGACUUAGCUAUAAAAUCCCACACCAGGGGUGGGAGAGAAAAGAAAGGAAAGCCACACCAAUCACCAAAGUGACUUUAAGUAGAACACAUCUUCUGUUCCAUCAUGCCCCUGAAAGAUCCUCCCUUGGAAUACGUUAUUUCAGACAGGAAAAAGGUGUUCCUUUCUUCAGAGAUGAAGUUGCGUGCCUUUAGCCACAUGUAAUAGAAACAUAAUGGGUUCAGUGCAACGGGCGAAGAAAUGACUGAGUUGUUAGUAUAAAGCCAAUCACAGAAGCACUUCGGUCUCACUUCACUGUUUGCACAGUGUUGGCAACGUCUGAAGGGUGAUAACUGCCAGAGACUGCUAUAAGGAAAAGGGGAUUCCUAUGGAUUUUCUGGGAAGAGAGGAAUUACUGCCAUACCAGAAGUUCAGCGUCGAAAUAACUGCACAGUUAUGCACCAUAUUGUGGUCACAACUCCACAGAGCACUAACUGCCUUCUUCUUGUUGUUGUUGUUGCAAAAACACGUUCUGCAUUUGAUUUUAAUUCCUUUGCUUCUCCAUUAGAAACGCAUUGGCCGGACCACCAAGGCAGCAGCAGUCUGGCUAUUCUCCACUCCGAUGCACCACUGACGUCUGUGUAUAUGUGUAUGUGUAUAUGUGCAUGUGUAUAUUUCAUGUUCCUGCUUUCAAAGCUCUGGUCUGUAUUUUUUAUUUCAAAAUAAAUUGCUCUUUGAAUGUAAUGAGAAAGUGGAAGGCAUUGGGUG
ensembl:lncRNA